UUACGACCAUAUCAUAUUGAAGCCCUAGCUCUAGAACGAUCACCGAAGUUAAGCAAUAUCGUGCUUAGUCAGUACCAAGAUUGGUGACCGCUUGGGAAUACCAGGUGCU